UACGUAGGGACCGAGCGUUGUCCGGAAUUAUUGGGCGUAAAGAGCUCGUAGGCGGCCUGUUGCGUCCGCUGUGAAAUCCCGGGGCUCAACCCCGGGCCUGCAGUGGAUACGGGCUGGCUGGAGGCAGGCAGGGGAGAACGGAAUUCCUGGUGUAGCGGUGAAAUGCGCAGAUAUCAGGAGGAACACCGGUGGCGAAGGCGGUUGCCUGGGGCUUUGCUGACGCUGAGGCGCGAAAGCGUGGGAGCGAUCCGG
rnacentral:rRNA from 1 species